AUUGAACGCUGGCGGCAUGCCUUACACAUGCAAGUCGAACGAGUGGCGGACGGGUGAGUAAUGUCUCGGAACAUGCCUGAUGGAGGGGGAUAACUAUUGGAAACGGUAGCUAAUACCGCAUACCAUUCGAUGUGCCCAGAUGGGAUUAGCUAGUUGGUGGGGUAACGGCUCACCAAGGCGACGAUCCCUAGCUGGUCUGAGAGGAUGAUAAGCAAAACUGGAACUGAGAAACGGUACAGACUAGUAAGGGAGGCAGCAGUGGGGAAUAUUGGACAAUGGGAGAAAGCCUGAUGCAGCCAUGCAGCGUGUAUGAAGAAGGAGUUCGGGUUGUAAAGGACUUUCAGCGGGGAGGCGGUACCCGAAGAAGAAGCACCGGCUAACUACGGGCCAGCAGCCGCGGUAAUUC
rnacentral:rRNA from 1 species